rnacentral:rRNA from 1 species
UACGUAGGGGGCUAGCGUUGUCCGGAAUCAUUGGGCGUAAAGCGCGUGUAGGCGGCCCGGUAAGUCCGCUGUGAAAGUCGGGGGCUCAACCCUCGGAUGCCGGUGGAUACUGUCGGGCUAGAGUACGGAAGAGGCGAGUGGAAUUCCUGGUGUAGCGGUGAAAUGCGCAGAUAUCAGGAGGAACACCAAUUGCGAAGGCAGCUCGCUGGACGUUACUGACGCUGAGACGCGAAAGCGUGGGGAGCAAACAGG